rnacentral:rRNA from 1 species
GGCUACGAGAACGACGCUGGCGGCAUGCCUAACACAUGCAAGUCGAACGAGACCGUUCGGGUCUAGUGGCGCACGGGUGCGUAACGCGUGGGAACCUGCCUUUAGGUUCGGAAUAACUCAGAGAAAUUUGAGCUAAUACCGGAUGAUGUCUUCGGACCAAAGAUUUAUCGCCUUUAGAUGGGCCCGCGUAAGAUUAGCUAGUUGGUGGGGUAAAGGCCUACCAAGGCGACGAUCUUUAGCUGGUCUGAGAGGAUGAUCAGCCACACUGGGACUGAGACACGGCCCAGACUCCUACGGGAGGCAGCAGUGGGGAAUAUUGGACAAUGGGCGAAAGCCUGAUCCAGCAAUGCCGCGUGAGUGAUGAAGGCCUUAGGGUUGUAAAGCUCUUUUACCCGAGAUGAUAAUGACAGUAUCGGGAGAAUAAGCUCCGGCUAACUCCGUG